rnacentral:rRNA from 1 species
UGGCGCCUACGGGAGGCAGCAGUGGGGAAUAUUGCACAAUGGGCGAAAGCCUGAUGCAGCAACGCCGCGUGAAGGAAGAAGGGUUUCGGCUCGUAAACUUCUCUCAACAGGGACGAAAGAAAUGACGGUACCUGAAUAAGAAGCCCCGGCUAACUACGUGCCAGCAGCCGCGGUAAUACGUAGGGGGCAAGCGUUAUCCGGAAUUACUGUGUGUAAAGGGUGAGUAGGCGGCAUGGUAAGCCAGAUGAGAAAGCCUUGGGCUUAACCCGAGGAUUGCAUUUGGAACUAUCAAGCUAGAGUAAAGG